GACGAACGCUGGCGGCGUGCUUAACACAUGCAAGUCGAACGGUAAGGCUCCAGCUUGCUGGGGUACACGAGUGGCGAACGGGUGAGUAACACGUGGGUGACCUGCCCUGCACUUCGGGAUAAGCCUGGGAAACUGGGUCUAAUACCGGAUAGGACCGCACCGUGAGGGUGUGGUGGAAAGUUUUUUCGGUGUGGGAUGGGCCCGCGGCCUAUCAGCUUGUUGGUGGGGUAAUGGCCUACCAAGGCGGCGACGGGUAGCCGGCCUGAGAGGGUGGACGGCCACAUUGGGACUGAGACACGGCCCAGACUCCUACGGGAGGCAGCAGUGGGGAAUAUUGCACAAUGGGCGGAAGCCUGAUGCAGCGACGCCGCGUGGGGGAUGACGGCCUUCGGGUUGUAAACUCCUUUCACCAUUGACGAAGGGUUUCUGACGGUAGAUGGAGAAGAAGCACCGGCUAACUACGUG
rnacentral:rRNA from 1 species